UUAGAGAGCAUGAGGUUCGUUUCAUACUCUAUAUCUGUACAGUUUGUUCCUGAAACAAAUAUACUGGCGUCAUCAGCAUACAGGACAUAUUUCGCGUUUAGGUAAAUAUUAGUUACAUCAUUGAUAUAGGCGUUAAAAAGAAGGGGCCCCAAGACACUUCCCUGCGGAACUCCUUUUGAAAUAGGCUUCAUACUUGAACAAUGCAUAUCUAUCUGAACAAAUUGCUGUCUGCUUGCUAGGUAAGAUUUAAUUAGUGCUAAAGAGUGACCUCGAAUGCCAUAGCUAUAAAGUUUUUCAAUCAAUGUUAAAUGGUGAAUAUUAUCAAAUGCUUUGCUAAAAUCCACAUAGACGCCAAGCACAAGUCUUCUUUCUUCGAACUGGGAUAAGAUGAAUUCCUUUUGUUCCAACAGUGCAUAUUCGGUGGACUUAAGCUUUCUGAAGCCGAAUUGGGCAGGUGAUAUUAUAUUGUUCUUCUCGAAAAAAUUAUUAAAUUGGCGAUGUAAGAUUUUUUCCAGGCCCUUAGAAAAGAUGGGCAAUAUGGAUAUAGGCCUAUAAUUUUGGAUAUCAUUUCUGUCUCCCUUUUUAAAUAAAACACUCACUUUAGCGAUUUGCAUUCUUUUCGGAAAAGUUGCACUGGACAAACAUAAAUUAAUAAUAUAUGUAAGGUACGGUGUGACAAUAUCUAACACUUACUUUAUCGGUCUAAUUUGCAUGCCUUCAAAAUCACACGAGGAACUAUUUCGCAGUGACGUGAAAGCAGAGAAAACUUCAUGUUCAGAGACAGGCUCAAGAAAUAAUGAGAAGGAGCUAGCAACAGGCUUCAACUUAAGCAAUGUCCUAGAUGAACUGUUUUGAUUGUUGCUAACAAAGUGAUCAUUAAACAUAGUGGCGAGAGGGAUGCCAGAUAUCUCAUUGCCAUUUAUGUUCAGUUUUUCUAUACAAGAAUGCGAUUUAUUACGAUUAAGGACAGUAUUUAACCUUUUCCAUAAGAAGUCAGGUUUUGGUGCAGAGCACUCAAAUUCAGACUGAAUGUGUCGCACUCUACUUAGUUUUAUUUCUUUAUUCAGUUUAUUUCGAUAAGGACCCAGAUACACUGAAACAAUUCAAUGUUUCAGUGUAUCUGGGUCCUUAUUUUGAAUAAAUUUAUGAUACAAUUCGUUUUUGCGAUGUAUUUUUGCAAGCAGUUCAGGCGUUAUCCACGGUUUACGAAUUUUUUUGCCUAAGGUAAUUCUUUUUUCGGGAAAGUGGUACUUGUAUAUACCAGAAAUUAUAUCUAUGAACUUUGUAUAUGCCUCUUCAGCGUUCGCGAUUUGACCGAUAACUUCCAGGUCACAGGUUAACAUCGUUAAUGCCGUGUAGCAUUAGACAAAGGAAUGAUGCACAGAAAUGCACCAUGGGCCAAUGGAACACCAAGUCUUAUGAUGGGUCACGCGACUAGGCAGUAGUAUUAAACAAUGUGUAUGCACAGUGUGUUUGCAAACUGCAACAAGAUUUGGUAAGUCUUUCUUUUCCACUGCGAAUCCUCUAGCAUGUUCAAAGAUGUGAAAACACACAUACACAGACAAAAAUAAGAACAAAUGGAGCUUGGCAACAAAGAAGUGAAAUUAAGAAAGAAGAACCGCUGCGCACUCGUUACCGAAGACACAUGAUAUGCACUGUCACAUUAGUGAUGGAGUGUAAACCCCGUGAACAGCGCAAACUUCGUUUUACUCCUUAAGCCACCCAACUUGCAAGAAUACAAACAGAUAAGUGACAUCUCCCACUCAAACUGACAUACUGCGAGCACACAUAGCAAAAGCACCAAAUAUUCACGUUUGCAGUUGUGGAAGGAUGCACAUGCAGAAAUAUUAGUGUCGAUAACAAGUGUGCACCGCUAUAAGGUGCAGAAGCCUAUUUUGCCAUGUGGUUUCAUGCCAUGCAAUAUUUUGUGGCUGGGGGUCAAUCUAUUAGCGCUUCUUUAUUGCAGUUGUUUGCAACUAAACUUGUCAAAAGUAACACGCCGUUCAUGUACCUCACAAUCCAACUUGCCUGUGAAAAAAAAAAGGAAGAAUAGGUUACAUCCCUUUCUUACUGCAGGAAUAAGUGAGCUGACUUAAUUGCGUGCAUCAUCUCAGAGGCAAUGUGCACUACCUUGUUCACUCUCUCACUCCAAUUACAAUGUAGAGCCAUAGCAUAAUAUCAAAACAGAAUCAGCACAGCAUUAUGGCGAAGCUGUGCAGAUGACGGGACAUGUGAAAAACGGGACAGGACAAGACAUGUCCUGUUGGCAUUGUUUCACCAUAAUGUACAGUCAACCAAAAACAGACUACGGGAGGACCCUCAUGCCACCCAGCAUGCUAAUCCAAAUUUGUCAUACUUGUACUGCUCUGUCACGUCUCUCACAUUCACAUAAUUUCCUCAUUCAUGGGAGCUCUGUCUGAGGUAAGAACGUAAAUUAUUUCAAAAACAAAUAUCCCAAUUCCAGCGAAGGCCUCUUGUGUCACUCUAAACUCAACAGCCUUAUUAGUGUGUUCAUACCCUUUUAUAUAUUUUAAUUUUUUCUUGUUUGCUGCAUACUUUAUACAAAUUAAAUACCAAAACAAUGCAGCAAUCCUGUCUCUCCACACCAAGUAAUUUAUUCAUAAUUAGAGCAGAAAAGUUGCAAAAAUUAUUUUCAUGCUUCCGCACAUGCAGUGCUAUCUCUAAGCUCUUUCAACUGAACAGCUUUCAAUUGAGAUUAAUAAGAGCAACCAGGAAAUUUUGGCCAUGACUUUUCUUUGGCUAGCAUGAACCAGAACGCAUAGUACAGAAAAGAAUGUCACACACAUGCACUCACAAACACACAUCACUAGAAAAACUACUAUUUAUUAGAAAUGUGAUUCCCAUUAAAAGGCAGAAAAAGAGCACGCUUGGAGGGACUAAGCAGUGAGCCCACAUGACCCAUGCUGAUAGGCACAGAACCUACACUAAGAAUUGGAUAUUGAAUUUCCACUAUCUUGUAAUAAUUUAUUUUUCAAGUGACAUUAUCACCACUUAAAUAUAUUUUUUGAUAAGUUAUAACCAAUAAAACACAGCACCUUUUACUGCCUUUUCCCAAAGGCCUGUGCAUGUAGUGUCGAAUUAGCAUGAAAUUUGGCAAUCUUUUUUAACAGUAACAGAAGAAAAGGAACACAGCAUACAAGUUAUUGUAAAGUAAAAAAAAAUAUGUAGCUGAAGAGAAGUCAUACGGAAAGCAAAGUUACUGCUAUCACUGACACGUGCAAUGAAAUGAAAAAAAAAGGAAUAUAUCAUGAUACUGUACACUUUCCAUGUGGAAAUCUUUUCUGGAAAAGUUAUACUUUUCAAUGGCUGCAAAACUCUGCUUUAACAGAGAAAUGGAAAUAGCAGAUAACGAGAUAUGCUGAAAACAAAAUGCUAAUAAAAAAAUGCAUGCUUGAACUGGUGUUUCAGAUUCUCUAUGCAAAGGAGGAGCACAAACUGGAGACAGCCAUUGCAGAGCUUCAGUCCUUGCCUCAUAUGCCCUAUGUUCAGAGAGUGAACACGUUUCUUUUGCGCCAAUGUGAGUGGGUGCUCUUGUAUCGUACUGGUGUGCUAACAAGAGGCCAAAACACAACUAUUCGGAGGCUUCUGUCCGUAUUCUAAAGGACAUCAUCCUAAACAGAACAAAAGCCUACAAUGCAGUAGCUUUAAUUGAAUUUGUGAUUAGUAAUUGGGAGAAAUAUUUCGAAACACGGCUGCUGCGCCACGCACACAAUCGGGAACCUACCCACCGAAUUGGCUAUGAGCACCUUCUGCAAGAAAUGCCGGAAUCCCCCCCAAAAUCAAUUCUAAAAGUAGAACAAAAUUGCUACCAUGUUCCGAAUUCUUCUGGAACUGGGACAUAUGAGGUAUGGGCGGACAUUGGGCUAUGCAGCUGCAGGGCAGGGAACCAGGGUGCUUUCUGUAAGCACCAGGCUGCUGUGCAACAAGCCUUUGGUGGUGCUUUCCCGAACAGCCCGGAGCUGACAGUUGGAGACCGCACAGAGCUUGGCCAGCUUGCCCUCGGAAAGCGUUGUCCAGCAGCAGGCUUUUUCAUGCCUUUGACUGCACAUGCCCUCACCUUGGCACCCUCAUCUGUGUGCGAAGCAGGACCAUCGACUUCGCACAAAGACGUAGGGCAGGAGACGCAGACAAUCUCCACAGCGCCAGAGGUGCAAGGAGAGAUGGCUGACUUGGGCCAAAUACAUCUGGACCACAAAAAAGAGUGUGCUGCAUUCAAUGAAGCAUACCAGCGCGCCCAUGGACUUGGUGAAUGCAUUCCUCAGUAUGCUGCUGUUAUCAAGUCCAUAACAGAAGACCUGUUAAAGUUGAACACCAGCAGCGCUGUGUUUGCAUACAUGUUGAGGCAAAAGGCCAUGGGAAGGGCUAUCAGGCAUGGUAAAAAAAUUAAGGUACAACCAACAAGCUUGGCAAGGCGCCGACCUGGCCUACCGAGAGGUUCGGGACGCAUUCCUGCCGGCCGACCAAGAACAGCUGGAAAAAGGAAAACAAAACGUGGACAUGUGCUCAGCCAAAGUGUGCGGGAUGAUGUACCUGGGGCCAAAUGCCAUUAAGAACUCAAACUUUAUGGAGACCUCACAGUUGACCCACUAAAUAUGUCUCAGCAUGCUUAAGGACAGUGAAUACGUUGAACACACAUCAUCUGUCAUCGAAAAUGCCCAUUUUCGGCCUGCACUAGGAUGAUUUUUAAGCAGUAAUUGUAGCUCACAAAGUCUGAUUGCAGUGGUUACUAAUGCUAACGUGCCCCUUUCCUUUUGCAGUUUGUUAUUUUUAUGAAAUUGCAUAGCCAGCUGCUCCUGAACCCUAUAUCAAUUGUCUGUCCCUUCUUGAGGUGGUUUAAAUACUUCAUGCAGCAUCCGCACAUUACCAAGAGUCCACCUCUAGUUCUGUUGCCUUCAUAGUGCCAUUGCUUCAAGCGACUUUUCAAGGAUGAUAUUGCUAUUUGUAUUGAAAUCUAGCACUAAUAUUGUAAGACUGAGACUAACCAAGCUGUCAAGCGCUUUUUAUUCCAAAAAGGAAAUGCCCCAGCUCAUGCGUGAAGAAGUAGAACAGGGAAGAUGAUGAUGGCUAUGUACAAAUUAAAACGACGAAGUAUGUUAAUAGUGCUUACAAUAUCUAGGUUUGCAAGUAAAAAGAUGUUUACUGAACAUGGGCCAUGAAUGCAGAAAGGUCCGUAGCGAUGAGCACUGGUUCAGGUCGAGCACUGUCUCGUGCUCUGCAUUGGCGAUCCUGCUUGCACUUCAGCUGUCCUCCACUCCUUCAUUUUGUGUGUAAAAACCACCAGUGCUGUGGUUAUAGUGAGCUGUAGGGCUAGCUUUUGUUUAUCAGGCAGGGCUUCUUGAUUGGUAGCAGUAAGGUACAGCCCAAAGCAUUGUAUGAAUAGCAUCCGUUCAGCUUGCAAGUUGCCAGCCUUGCGCAUAAGUUGUGCUUCAAACAUUGAUGCCACAUGGUGGCCCUCGGUUGCUCACACCUCAGUAAAUUGUGAUUGGCAGUGUUACACUGGCGCUCUUCGUAAAUUUUGUUACUUUGGUCACAGGAACAUUUCUAGCUCUGUUUGUGUCGUUCUCAACCUAGUGUGAAUAGAGUGUGAAUUUUUUUAAUAUUUAAUUCUGGGUUUUAAAUGCCAAAACCAUGAUUUCAUCAUGAAGCACGCCAUUUUAAUUUUUUUUGUAGCGUUAGUCCUGUGUUGAUUAGAUAUGCGACCAGCACCAAUACACGCCAUGAUGCAACAUCAAGACAUGCCUUGAUGCCACAGAAAUGCAUAAUAGAGGUAGACGGUGCACUGCAUGAAAAAGGUAACCAUGGAAGAGACGUAAGAUGAGCUGAACAAAAUGCUAUCUUCGUUCUGUACCAUAUCCUUUUGGCAUUGUACAGCUCUUUAUUUUCUUUGCCACCUCUCCUCUGUGACUUCACUUUUCACCUUUUGUUCUUUGUUGUACUGUCUGUUACGUUUUUGCCGCGCAAAUGUGCCAAGUUGUUUUGCAACUGCUGUUGACACGUUUAAAGAUUAAAUUGUUUUCAUUGGCA